AUCUUCUUCUCCUUCAUCGUUCUCUCCUCCUAUACCUCUCUAUUCUUCUUUUCUCCUCUCUCGCUUACUCUCUUCCUCUGAUUAUGCAACCCUAGAUCUAUUAGAUUUUAUCAGUUUCGCUUCAGAUUUCAGAUCCAUUAUCUCUUUGUCACCCUCGCUUUCAUCCCCAAAUUUAUCUUAUUCUUCUUCAAUUUGAUGAAAUCUUCAGUCUCCAUCUUCGUCGGUGGUCUGAGAUAGCCUUAAACCAUAAAUUUAAUUUCGAUGGCUGAAACGUAGGUGAAACCCAAACCAUCUUCGUCGCUUGGUUCUUCGUAGCUGAAAGGUUUCUCGAUCAAUUGCUUAAUCCUUCUCCCUCCGACUCCCGUCUUUCUCUUUCUCUCGGCUCCAUAUGUACGAUUUUGUUAGGAUUCACUAGAUUUAUUAGCAAUUGUAGAUGAAUUUGGGUUAGAUUGAUUUAGCAGUGAGAUAAUGAUUUCGAUUUAGAAAGCAAAAAGUCUCCAUCGAGUUCUUCUAGUGAGUUUUUACAUAUCUAUUUUCAUACAUCAUAGAACUCUCCCUUUUUCUACUCUAAUAUCUUACUUGUUUCCCAGAUACAAUGAAUCCUCAAAUACUUCCAGAGCUCUUUUCCAUUUAGUGAGAGUGGCAAGAGAGCAAAGCUCAAGAAAUAACCAAGAGAGGUUUUGGUUUCUAAAUUUGCAAGUUUUGGUUGUCUAAGUCACAAGUUUUGGGUUUCUCUGGUUAGCUACUACAUUUUUAUUUCAUACACACGUUAUUUUUUUUUAACUUACAUGGGUUCUGUUUUUGACAGUGAAGGGAUAAAAGGUUAAUACUAGUCCUAGCUAGUAAUUGUACUCUCAUGUGCUUGGAUUCAUUGAGAAAGCAGGAGAUAAAGAAAGGCUUUUGAAGUGGAGUUUGAGUGAUACCUGGAAUGGCAAUCACAAAUGUGGUAACAAUCUCUACGAUCAUGAAGCACAAUGGACUAGCAACAUAGAAGAAGGUGUUAACGUUGUUGACUGUGGGAAUGAAAGACAAGAACAAAGGAAGCAUGGUCCAGAAGGCUAAGGCAAGUUUCUUUUAAUAUUUUUUUUAAGGCUGGUGAAUAAGCUACAACAGAAGCUGUUUAGGUCAUUGGAUUGUCUUUGAAGUCUGAUGCUAAAAAGACCAUCAUG